AAUGGAGGGUGUCCUGGAUAGUGACCAUAAGGUGGUUUUUUUGGAGGUUCAUAAACUGGUGGCUUGGGUUUUGGUUUCUCUUUCUUUGGAGGUGGAUUGGUGGCUUUGGUGGUUUAAAUUCAUGCAUCGGUGGCUUCUUUGGAGGUUCAUGUACGGGUGAUUUGGGUUUUGACUUCUCUUUCUUUGGAGGUUCAUGGACUGGUGGUUUAGGUUUAUAUGCUGGAGGCUUCUUUAGAGGUUCAUGGAUUGGUGGCUUCUUUGGAGGUUCAUAUAUCGGUGGCUUGUGUUCUGGUUUCUCUUUCUUUGGAGGUUCGUGAACUGGUAGCUUUGGUGGUUUAGGUUCAUGAAUCGGUGGCUUCUUUGGAAAUUCAUGGAGUGGUGGUUUAUGUUUAUACAUUGGAGGCUUCUUUAGAGGUUCAUGGAUUGAUGGCGUAGGUUUAUACAUUGGAGGCUUAUUUGGAAGUUCAUCUGAUGGUGGCUUGUGUUCUAGUUUCUUUUUUUUUGGAAGUUUAUGGACUGGUGGCUUAGGGUCAUAUGUUGGAG
rnacentral:lncRNA from 1 species